rnacentral:rRNA from 1 species
AUUGAACGCUGGCGGCAGGCCUAACACAUGCAAGUCGAACGAGUGGCGGACGGGUGAGUAAUGUCUGGGAAACUGCCUGAUGGAGGGGGAUAACUACUGGAAACGGUAGCUAAUACCGCAUACCAUCGGAUGUGCCCAGAUGGGAUUAGCUAGUAGGUGGGGUAACGGCUCACCUAGGCGACGAUCCCUAGCUGGUCUGAGAGGAUGACCAGCCAAACUGGAACUGGGACAGGCUCCAGCCUCCUCCGGGGGGAGGCAGGGGGGAUUAUUGCACAAUGGGCGCAAGCCUGAUGCAGCCAUGCGGGGGGUGUGAAGAGGGCCUUCGGGUUGUAAAGCACUUUCAGCGGGGAGGCGUUACCCGCAGAAGAAGCACCGCCUAACUCCGUGCCAGCAGCGCGGUAAUUC